CACCACAUCACGUGUUACCUUUUUGUCAAUCUCCAAAGGGCUACUGCAAGACCAAAUGAAUGAAUGUCUAAAAACAUUUAUGACAGGUCUACACCUGGUCCACUCACUCCUGCAGUUUCAAAAUUACACUAGACGAGAGAUGGCUUUAAAUAGCAAAUCCCAUCCAUGCAUGGUGCUAACAUCAGUAUUGGAGGAUAAUAUUUCCUGAACUGGACCCCAGUUUCUAGGAUGCAUCUUGUUUGAAGGCCUAUGGUCUUCCCUCACUGAUUAUGUUGGACAAAGAGACUGUCUGAAAUUCUGCACCUCAUCUUUGACCACUGGCAGCAAAUUUAUGGCCAAAUAAAAAUUGCCAAUUUGUCUCUGCUUCUACUCUUCAAGAAUGUAUAAAUAUUGACAUUCACUCUCAGAGCAUUCAAUGCAGACAAGGGAAAAAAUGUCCAUGAUAAAAAGGAUGCGUAUGUGUUUUUAGAACACCGUCUGGUUCAUAACUGGCUUUCUAACAGCCUGGUACAGCCCAUUUUAUAUGCCUGUUUUUCAGCUUUUAUAAUGGAUUUCUAAAAAGAUAGCAAACUCUGAGAAACAAGUUUAUUUAUCAAUGAGAUUUAUAUGUCACCCUUUGAAAAACUGCUGGUAACAUUAAAAUAAUUUUCAUUUCAUUGUUGUGUUGAGAUUUAUUCCCUGACACCUUUCAUCUAUUUUGCCUAUAACAGGCAUACGUGACCAAAAG
rnacentral:lncRNA from 1 species